ensembl:lncRNA SNHG17 small nucleolar RNA host gene 17
GCUCCUGCAUCCGAAAGUGAUCAUAGGCUGCCUGUGCCUAGGUCAUUGAUAGUGCAGGGAGAGGAACGCUGAAAGAGGUUGUCCCCGUGUUUGGAGGGUCCACCCUAUCCCAUCCGAACCCUGAAGCUUUCACACAACUCCUGUUGCUCUCCUGCCAGCCCUUGAGGAGUCCGGCGCUUGCUUGGCUGCCACAUGAAAGUCAGUGCGGGGGGGCAUCAUGCUUAAGUCUUUCUCAGCUUGACCUCUCUUUGCAGAAACCAGGCUCUGUGUUCUGAGGGGUAGAUCAGGAAGGGAAUGUGAUAUGUAAUGAGUCAUGGUGUGUCGCAGUGGAUAGCACAGUUUCGAAUAAGUGCAAUAUUGGCAUAUAAACAUGAGGGAGACUUUGAGGUUGGGGUGAGCAGGGCUGACCCCGUGUGUGUGUGUGUGUGUGUGUGUGUGUGUGUGUGUGUAUGUGUAACUUGGGGACAGGAUAGGGUAGCAUCUUUACAUCUUUACAUGUCAUUGGCCUGGAAUAGGGGGUCCUGAAGGGUUUGUCGUAAGAAAGAGAAAGUGCUCAUUGCUGCAAGGGGAGCACAGCCGGGUUCUGAGAGGCAAAACACUUCCCUCACUUCCCACCCAAGAGUUUCGCCUGUUCUCUCGACCCUCUGAGGUGUGCAUUGGUGUCACUCACUGGCCACCAUUCCAGCUCUUAAUUCCUCUGCCUUUUGUGCUGGCCUUUGGGGCUCCCCUGAGGAUGACUGGUUCUCAGGUUGCCCCUGGAGGAAUGGGUGGAGUUGUAAGAUCAGGAAUAAAGCUAGAGAGGGAGGACCAAGGGGAAGUCACUGAUGCAGCCGCCGUCUAGCCCAUCCCACCCCGAUUGAGAGGUCGCUUUUUCCUGUUGAACAUGUUGGAUAGUGGAAUGUGUUAUAAGAAGUGAUAUGUGUGGCUUCUUGUCAUUGCAGGAUUGUCAGCUGACCUCUGUCCUGUGUGCCCAGUGGCCCCAGGUGACGUGUCUUCAAGAAGAGGCUGAGCUGCGGUGCUUGUAAGAGUCAUGUGCUGUUCCUGGGGCUUGGAUGAUGUAGGGGAAGCAAGGUGAAAGUGGUAUCCCGUGGUUCCACGUUCUGUCCUGCUGUGGGGCUGUCCCUCACAUGCUUUCAGUGGCUGUUGCAGAGGAAGAGCCUCCGGAAAUCUGCGUGGGUCUCAGCCUUAGAUCCAAGGACAGUCCAAGGAAGUCCUAAGACCAUGGAGUUGGUGAUCUGGGAUCUGGGUUUGCUGAUAUUUCUCACCGUGAAUCUCUUGGUGGUGUUUGUGGGCACGAGAGGGGCAGAGAAUGGAGAGUGAGGCUACCACAUGAAGCGUCACCAGAGCUGCUCCCUGCUGCCUGCUCAGAGCACCCCGGAUCCACUGUUCAAUCUGCACAAGAUUCGGGGUCCAGACAUGGGAGACUUCAGCUGCCUCAGAGGACCGUGGACAGGGAAGGCCAGCCUCGCAUCCCUCUGUCCAUGCCUGGAAUGACUUUAAUAACCAAGAGUUUUAUUUUUGAAUUUGUAGCUGUCGUUCACUUUUUACCCACCCAUUCAAUAAACCUUACAGAAUUGCUCCA